rnacentral:rRNA from 1 species
UACGUAUGGAGCAAGCGUUAUCCGGAUUUACUGGGUGUAAAGGGUGCGUAGGUGGCAGUGCAAGUCAGAUGUGAAAGGCCGGGGCUCAACCUCGGAGCUGCAUUUGAAACUGCAUAGCUAGAGUACAGGAGAGGCAGGCGGAAUUCCUAGUGUAGCGGUGAAAUGCGUAGAUAUUAGGAGGAACACCAGUGGCGAAGGCGGCCUGCUGGACUGUUACUGACACUGAGGCACGAAAGCGUGGGGAGCAAACAGG